rnacentral:rRNA from 1 species
AGUGAACGCUGGCGGUAGGCCUAACACAUGCAAGUCGAGCGGCAGCACAGUAAGAGCUUGCUCUUACGGGUGGCGAGUGGCGGACGGGUGAGGAAUACAUCGGAAUCUACUUUUUCGUGGGGGACAACGUAGGGAAACUUACGCUAAUACCGCAUACGACCUACGGGUGAAAGCAGGGGAUCUUCGGACCUUGCGCGAUUGAAUGAGCCGAUGUCGGAUUAGCUAGUUGGCGGGGUAAAGGCCCACCAAGGCGACGAUCCGUAGCUGGUCUGAGAGGAUGAUCAGCCACACUGGAACUGAGACACGGUCCAGACUCCUACGGGAGGCAGCAGUGGGGAAUAUUGGACAAUGGGCGCAAGCCUGAUCCAGCCAUACCGCGUGGGUGAAGAAGGCCUUCGGGUUGUAAAGCCCUUUUGUUGGGAAAGAAAAGCAGCAGGUUAAUACCCCGCUGUUCUGACGGUACCCAAAGAAUAAGCACCGGCUAACUUCGUG